UGCAGUCGAACGAUGAACCUCACUUGUGGGGGGAUUAGUGGCGAACGGGUGAGUAACACGUGAGUAACCUGCCCUUGACUCUGGGAUAAGCCUGGGAAACCGGGUCUAAUACUGGAUACGACCUUCUGGCGCAUGCCAUGUUGGUGGAAAGCUUUUGUGGUUUUGGAUGGACUCGCGGCCUAUCAGCUUGUUGGUGGGGUAAUGGCCUACCAAGGCGACGACGGGUAGCCGGCCUGAGAGGGUGACCGGCCACACUGGGACUGAACACGGCCCAACUCCUACGGGAGGCAGCAGUGGGGAAUAUUGCACAAUGGGCGCAAGCCUGAUGCAGCGACCCGCGUGAGGGAUGAAGGCCUUCGGGUUGUAAACCUCUUUCAGUAGGGAAGAAGC
rnacentral:rRNA from 2 species